AAUAGAAUUGCUGGGUGAUAUGAUAAUCCUUUUUAACUUUGUGAGGACCUGCUAGACUGCUUUUCCAAGUGAUAGCAUCAAUUAUCAUUCCCACUAGCAAU
rnacentral:pre_miRNA from 1 species